AGUGAACGCUGGCGGUAGGCCUAACACAUGCAAGUCGAACGGCAGCACAGUAAGAGCUUGCUCUUACGGGUGGCGAGUGGCGGACGGAUGAGGAAUACAUCGGAAUCUACUUUUUCGUGGGGGAUAACGUAGGCAAACUUACGCUAAUACCGCAUACGACCUACGGGUGAAAGCAGGGGAUCUUCGGACCUUGCGCGAUUGAAUGAGCCGAUGUCGGAUUAGCUAGUUGGCGGGGUAAAGGCCCACCAAGGCGACGAUCCGUAGCUGGUCUGAGAGGAUGAUCAGCCACACUGGAACUGAGACACGGUCCAGACUCCUACGGGAGGCAGCAGUGGGGAAUAUUGGACAAUGGGCGCAAGCCUGAUCCAGCCAUACCGCGUGGGUGAAGAAGGCCUUCGGGUUGUAAAGCCCUUUUGUUGGGAAAGAAAAGCAGCAGGUUAAUACCCCGCUGUUCUGACGGUACCCAAAGAAUAAGCACCGGCUAACUUCGUG
rnacentral:rRNA from 1 species